GGGGCCAUAGCUCAGUUGGUAGAGCGCUUCAAUGGCAUUGAAGAGGUCGUCGGUUCGAUUCCGUCUGGCUCCACCA
rnacentral:tRNA from 1 species